UGGAUGGCGUGGGUUGGCAGGCUCUGUGCUUGUGCAUCGAACUGUCGGCGCUCCAUCUGUUACGGUCUUGCCCCAGGCGCAGCUCCUGGCUUGUGGGUGCUCGUGGUAUCCUGUGUUGCUUACCUGUGGGAAGGAAUUUGAUGGUUUCGGUGUCCCUAUACGCCUUGCGUCCUACGGGGUGUGGGGUGGACGUGCGGCAGGCUCUGUGUUGCCCCSCUGUUGAGUGUGUUGAUGCUCGGCCGCUGUGGCCCAUGGGGUCUUGGCUCUUGCUCUCGGAUGUAGAAUGUUGUGUGUGUGUUGGUGUGGGGUCUCGGCCUCUUAUCGUYUAAGCUAACACACAUUGUCCCUUUACAUGAACGACUGCCACGCCCGUCUUGAUCGUYUGACUGAGCCUUGUCGCGGGGCUCUGGGAGGGCGUCUCAUGCGGGGGUUGGUAUCGGAGAGGAAUGC
rnacentral:misc_RNA from 1 species